rnacentral:lncRNA from 1 species
UUUUGUGGCAUACUUUAAACCUCAUUGGAAUUGUUGGAGUUGGAAGGUGCAGUUUAUACAUUUACUUAAAAGUUUAUCAUUUACAAAACAUACAUCUUGGGCAGGAGAGAUUGCUCAGUGGUUAAGAACUCUUCACAAAGACCCAAGUUUGAUUCCCAGCAGUUAACACUGGAUGGGGCAUACUGUCUUUAACUCCAGCUGCAGGGCAGUCUGAGACCUCUGGCUUUUGUAGUCACCUGCAUUCAUGUGCAUGUAACCCCCCCCCCCCACACACACACACACACUUACUUUAUAUAAUAAAAAUAAAUCUUAAAAUUUUGCAUCUCAAAUAAAUAAAUGACUUUACCUUAAUUUGCAUUCUCAGUUUACCUAUAUUUUAUUUUAUCAUGAUAUAUCUAAUGUUAGCAUGGAGAAUGUAGGAAAUAUAUUUAAAGCCUAGGCAAAUAUUUCUGACUCAUUCACAUCCUCAUCUUAUAAUUUUCUUUUUAAUGAGAGGACUAUAUUUAACAAGGAGGAGAAGGUAUUUGUUUGAUAAAUUUUUGUACUUACAGACCACAUUUUAGUAUACUGAAAGAGAAAUGACCGUAGCUCAUACACCUAAAAUAUGUCUUUUUUCAAAGACCCAACAUGUCCUCAUGUGGGUGAUCUAAGCCUGAUGAUUUUUUCGUAGUAUAUUUUACCUACAAUGUAAAUGGAAUAACGUGGAGGAUACAACAAAGACCUAGUCUCGGUGGUGAGGAAGUAUUCUAGUUAAAACACAAGAGCAUGACCUGUGUACCUGUGUACCUGUGUACCUGUGUACCUGUGUACGAGAAUCUUCCCGUAUGUUUAGCGGUUCUUUUCUGCCUUGUCUUUAAUAUGCAAAUAGAAACGACCAAGAUCCCUAGAGUAGGGCCAUGCUAGCCGAGAAGGCUGUUCUGUAGUUACUGUGCCAGCGCUGUGAUAGAAGCUUGGUCCUAAGUAUUUUCAAUGUUUUAGCAGAGGCAGAUAUGAGGCCUUGGUAGGGAAGUUGGUUUUGUGGCUAAUGAACAGUUUUUGGUUUUAAAUAUAGUGAAUAAAUAUCAUUGUUACCUAUUUGUACUAUUAUUAAAAAUUUUGAAAGGCCACUUUCUAACGUGCCUUGAUCUUUGUUUUUAAGAUUUUAAAAUUCACAUUUUUAAAUACUAUAUUGACAUUUUGUAUCUGAAGUGCAAGCUGCUUACUCUCUUUUAAUUACUGGAGUCUUUUAAAUGUUAGAACUCAAAGGCAAAAGGUUUAGCUUUAUGUAAACUUGGGAAAUAUUAUAAGAUGUAAAAAUCAUUACAAGUUUGGCCCAAGAUUUAUUCAGUAUAAAUCUUCUUAAUCCAAUAGGAUAGCACAGUGGGGACCAGAAUGAACCAUCCCUUGUCGUUUAGUAGUGCAGCUAGUUGGUUAUUAAACUCGCAUAUUUCUUCUUUAUUUAUUGUGUGUGCGUGUGUAUGUAUGUGUGCUCAGGUCAUCAGGUUUGACAACAAGCACCCUUAACCUAAUGAGCUGUCUUGUUAGAGAAGUAGCAAUCUGUCAUUUCAUUUCUAGAGGCAGCAAGUAUUUUGUUUCGUGUCAAAUGGACAUGGAAGGCCAUCUACGUUAAGCAUAAGUGUUCAUGAAUUUUGAUAUUGCUAAUUCUCUCAUUGUCUAAUUAGCCAUACAGUAUGCUUGAUCCUUAAGCCAUAAUGACCACUUACUGUGGACAUGAUUCCUAAGUUUGUAGUUAGGCCUUUUGGCUUCUCAGGAGUAGAUUGUCUGUGCAGUCCUUUUCUCUAGCACUGUUUGACUUUGUCUUUGAAUCUCUUGGCUUGGUUUAUAAAUUCUUUAGUAAGUUGUUGCCUCCUUCCCCUUACUGACUUUAUGAGAAAGUAAAUGAGUGCUUGCAUUUGUGGGUGGGGUAACCUGGACACAUGAAAUGAUUGGCUGUUCACCUCUAUUCACUAUUGGGCAUAGACUCUGUCCACAGAAGAGAACUCAGUUAGUACUGAAUGUAUCCGUGUGGGGUUUCUUUUCAGUGUAUAUUUGAAAUGAUUGGCUGUUCACCUCUAUCCACUAUUGGGCAUAGACUGUCCACAGAAGAGAACUCAGUUAGUACUGAAUGUAUCCGUGUGGGGUUUCUUUUCAGUGUAUAUUUGAUUCGGUGCAUAUUUCUUUUCAGUGCAAAAGCCUUUUGGUCAAAUUCAUUGCCAUAAGUUGCAGGAUCAGGCAGCUUGCUGAGACAAUUUCAUCCUCUGACAGGAAGCUGAUAGGAUAACACAGGGAGAAUGAGGCCAUAAGCCCUCAAAACCUGCGCCCAACAUCCUGCUUCCUACCACAAGACUCUCCCUUCUGAAGGGUCCAUAAUCGCCCCAGACAGUGCCACCAGCUGGGACCAUGGGUUCAAAUACAUGAGUCUAUGGGGACAUUUCUCAUUUAAACCACUCUUAGCAUCCUUUGCUUGUCAGAACUGACGUGGUGGCGCACGCCUUUAAUCUCAGCACUCAGCACUGGAGAACACUGCUCAGCAGAGGCAGGUGAAUUUCUGAGUUCGAGGCCAGCCUGGUCUACAAAGUGAGUUCCAGGACAGCCAGGGCUAUACAGAGAAACCCUGUCUUAAAAAAACCAAAAAAG